GAAAGAGAAAGAGAAAGAAAGAAAAAUAGAUUGUAGUCUUUCAAUUCUGUUUUGAUGCUUUCCCAAUGAACUUUUCAACUUUCUGGGGCUGCAUUCCAAUUUUGAAAAGCAAGUGCCUACAUUUCCACUGUCCUGCAACACAACAUGAUUGUAAAACAGCCUGAUUUUGACUAAUAUGGGAUUAUUUUGAGCUUAAAAAAUACCUUUCAUUGCCUUUUUUUGCUGUGGCAAAUUAGGAAGAUUUGCAGGCUGAACAACCAGUCACGGCUAGACCUUGUGCCUGUUUGUGGUUUUUGUUGCUGUGUCUUGAGUUUUAAGAUCUUAAUGUCACAUAAAUAUUGCAGUUCCUGUUUUGCUAUCUAUGUCAACUUCUUAUCAGCCUACUAUUACCAUAUAUUUGUACUUAGCUUACUAUCACUUUUAUAUACAUAUUUUUUAUUUGGGCUUUAAUCAUUUAGUUGCAAAAUUGUGGAUUUGCUGGUGAGUGUCCACAAUAAUUCGUUCGUUGCAAAUUUAGUUCUCUUCUCUUCUCUUUCCUUUUCUGUAACAGUUUCACUUCUUUUUCAGUUAUCCUGGACAGACAUCCUAAAAUGUCCAACCUGGUGCCUAUCAUUUCCCAGAAAGAUCUCGAGAACAUUUCCCUGAGUCAGACAGGCUUUGGCAUCUCGCUGAAAGCCUUCCACGUGGCUUGGAACACGGAUGUCUCCGUGAAGCUGUUGAGUAACCAAAGAGCAGGAGAAAGAGACUUCAGGGCCCUGCUUCAAGAAGCAGCAAACACGCAACGUUUACAAUGCAACCAUCUCUUGCCGCUUUUGGGUAUUUGCCAGUUCCAAGGUUUCAUUGGGAUUGCAACGACAUGGAUGCACAAUGGUUCUCUCUCUUUGCUCAUUCAUGAUCAUGAACUCUAUCCAGAUCUGCCUUUUCCUUUGAGCAUAAGGAUCCUGUCAGAUGUCGCCACCGGUCUAAGCUACCUUCACAGUUUGGAGCCUCCCAUUCUUCACCACAAUCUCAAACCUUCCAAUGUCUUGUUAGAUCUUGAAUACAGAGCGAAGAUCUCAGAUUUUGGCCAACCCGCCUGGAGAAAACAGCAGCUGAGGGCAGCUUUGCACAACUGUAACAACAGUAGUUGCUGGGAUUUGCUCUGCCUGUCUCCUGAAAUACUUCAAGGAGGUCAAUUCUCACAAGAAGGAGAUGUUUAUAGUUUUGGCAUGAUGUGUUGGGAACUCCUAAGUCGACAAAAGCCACUGACAGGAAAAAAGACUUUGCUUCGAGCUAUAACUGGGAUCUGCAACGGUUUACGCCCAGGGAUCGAAGCAGCAUUCAUACCAAAUGUACCUCAUCGGAACAGGAUGGUUCGGCUGAUGCUUCUCUGCUGGCACCAAGAACCUCACUUCAGACCUGGUGCCGCAGAAUGUGCGGCAUUUCUAAAGGAUAUCCUCAGUACCUUUCCAAAGGAGGUGAUUUCUGAUGGAAUUUACAACUUGAUUCAUGCCAAGGAAUGUGCAAUUAAUGCUGCCAAAGGUCCAGUUUCUCACAUGCUUGAAACAGGGAUGCGCAAUUUAGAGAUCAUCUGUCCUCAGAAUAACAAUGUGCCCAACAAGGAAGUUGUGUUAAAACCGCAGAGCUUAUCACAUGAAACAGGAAAUCCAGGGAAUAAAUUGAACCAGACACUCCUUGUCAGCAAUACACCUCAAGACGCAGCCUUAGGAAGAGAUCCAUCUACAGCUGCCAGCAAUGGAUCAAGUCCUCCAUCCAUUCCACCCCAUUCAAAGACAAGCAACAAUAAAACUAGGUCUUUCGGCAAUGAGUCCAAAGGUCACCAGCCUCCAUUUCCGCAAACAGUGGGAGAACCAGCUUCUCUCAAAAACUGUCCAAACAGUUGGCCCAACAGCACAUUAAUAGGUCCUACCUGCAAAGAAAAAAACUGUUCCAUCCUCACCUUGGAGCGAGAAACCAUCUUAAGUUCAAUGACCGAUGGGCGUUUGAACCAUCUCCUGGACGUCUUACGUGCCCAGCAGCUCUUACCCAAGGCAGAUUACGAAAUGAUCACGUCCUACCCAACUUUGACACUCCGGACCCGUGCUUUGAUUGACACUUGUCUGAGUUUGGGGGAACAGGCUGCUGAGACAGUGGUGACUGUAUUAUCCAGCAGUAAAGGCAGCCGUUUGCUGAGAAGGCUCCGGACAAACCCAGUGAAUUAAACCUAAAUCUCAAUUCGGUUUACACCGUGGCCAAGGGAUGCCUCGUGUUACUUUUCAGAAAUGCUCAUCCUCUUAAAUAAAUAAGUCAAUAAAUGCCUGGAUUGGAUGAAAAAGAACGGGCUGCCCACUACCUGAAGGAAAAGCAUCAAGGUUUGCUGAUUUUGGCAUGAUAUCAACCUGAGUAGACUCUCAAACUUUCUUGUUUUUCCUCAAAAGCAGCAGAGCACAAGCUUUUUAUUUUCGCGUUGUGCCAAAGCGGCUUGUGGAGCUGUGGGAAAUUAAAAAGUCACUUAAGGACAGGGCUUUCCCAGUAAACCUCUGGGAGUAAAAGUGAUGUUGCUAAUGGCUUCAAGCAAGAAGUAAGGCAGUUGGUCCAUCUCCUGGAGCAAAUUAUACCUUUGGUUCUCCACACCUGAAAUCGAGGUGACACAAAGGCAAUUCAGAAUUCAGGUUUUUCUCAGCUGAGGAAUGGGGAACUACAACUGGGAUUAUUUGUCAGCAAUGGAUCAGAGAAUAAUGGUAAACUCUGAAAUUCAGCAGGUUUGGUGCUAGGAAAUCUGCAAGUUAUAUCAGAUGAAUUAAAGAUAUGUGUGGGUUAAUUUUCAGGAAAUGUAAACGUGCACAUGUAAAUCUGGUGCUUGCCUUUCAUUUCAAAAACCAUACUGUUAAAAGAAAUAAACUUUGCGUUCGUGCA